UGUCCCCUCCCUGGUGUCUUGUCCAUCGCUUGACUCCCCAUCCCACCCAUCUAUAAACUUCCACACAGGCGGUGAGUGACUGGGUGAGGACCAGGGGUCCCGCCUUUAAGCCUUCCCCAUUGCAUACUCUACCUGUCUAUUUCACCAGUUAGCACUCCCCCAAGCUUCCCUAUUGGUUGGUGGGUGAUACUUUCCCCUGUUUACACCCCCUUUAUAUACUGUUCCACAGUCCUCAUCGGGGCUCUUCACUCUUGGUUCCCGUGAGGUGCAGAGCUCCCUGGAGCCCCGUAAUAAACCUUGGACAUUAACUCCAGCCAAGAGUCAGCUUCAUUCCUCCUCCACUGCUUCUCCUCUGUCCCAGGGUUGGUGGCAACCCUAGCCACUCCCCAAACCUCCCUGAGGAAUGCAGUCCCUCACAGUCGACUGUGCCGGCUGGUCGGGUGAAGCCAUGGCUGCAGAGGCCAUCCAUGAUUACACUGUGCUGCAACAUGGGUUCAAACAUCUCCUGUUCUGCAACCCUUGAAAGUGAUGCUGAGGCACAGCUGAGCUGCCUGAUGAUAGUGUAUAUAUGAGCUGUAUAUAAAUUUCCUGUAUCUAUCUGUGGGAAGGGGUCCUGGGGAUAGUUGCCCCGGGAUGCCCUGGGAGACCACCACUGUAUGAUUUCCCGCCUCCCCGCCUGUCAGUCAUUUGUUAUGCCUUCCCUUGUUCAUGUCAAUCAUUAGUGGUACUAUCCCUCUGUUCUAGAAUGUUUCCUGUUCUUUGUAUCCCUAUUGGUUCCCUCCUGUUAACCACUCCUACCCCUUGUCCCCAUUGGUGCAUUCCUUGUCAGUCUUCCCCUGCUCCUCCCCUGAGCUUCUCCCCCAUUGGUUCGUAUGUAUCCUGACCCUCCUAGCCUCACCCCGUUAUAUACCUUAGCCCGCUCUCAGGACGGGGCUCUCAGAGCCUGAUCCCUUCUCGAGUGGCUGUCUCCCUUCACCCUGCUUCGCCUUUCCUACAAUAAAGCUGUCUGAGAAAUAAAGCAGCCUGUGAGUCAUCCCGUCUCGGUGGAGCAACAUACUACAGCUAUCCAGGCUCCUGUUAACCAACUCCACUGUGUUGUUCCCGGUGGGACACAGGUCCAGGGCACACCACAUCUAUCUUUUACCAGCUUCGUUAUACAUGUAAAGUUUUUAUAUGUAUAUAUAAAUCUUUGUGUUGUAUAUACAGUUUUGCAAUAUUAGGCAAAAAUGUUAUAUAAAGAUUGGAUAAGGAUGUGUGGCAGCAGCAUCUGGAAGAUCUGCAGCCAGGCACCAUGAUCCUGGCUGGGGACCUCAGCUCACAUCUGCCUUGGGGCAGCCCCUUCUGGGCUGUUGCUGAACUGCUGCACCUGCCUUUGGGGCUGGGGUUCAGGCACAGAAGAGCAGCUGUGAGUCAGAGAGCAGUAGCCAGAAGAGCUGAAAAAGAGGCUUUGAGGCACAGGUUGGAAAAUGAGCAAAGAAGAGCUCCAAGAAGAUGAAGGAAAAGUGGAGGACAGUGAAAGUAAUGCAGAAGAAAAUGGCCAGUGAAGUUUAAGUCAUCAGAGAUAACAUUUCAGUCUCUGACACAUGCCAAGCACAAUGUGUCCUGAGUCAACGCUGUGGCAGAGACAGAGUCUUCAGGCACGUGGAUGGGAGGGCCCAGCAGCACAGCUGGCAUCAUAAAUGCAGGAGCUCCUCACCCACAUUCUGCUGGGUGUAGGCUUUUCCCCUCUACACCUUGAAAAUGGGUGUGAUGCACCUCCUCAACACCCCUGCCAUGGUGGCUCAGGAGGGAUCCUGAGGCACAGAGCUGAUUGAUGACUGUAUAUAUCAGUGUUUACUGUAUUGUGUAUAUAUAGUAUAUAUGAAUUGUGUAUAAAUUAACUGCACUUGUAUUUAACUGUAUAUAGGUAGCUACAUCUAUUAACACUGUAUUUAGGGAAUUUAUAUUUUUUUAUUAUAAAAUAUAUACACCCCUGCCAUGGUGGCUCAGGAGGGAUUUCCUGCUGGAUAUCUUGGAGCAUUAACACCCUACUGCUCCAAAAUCUCGAUCGUGCCAGUUCUUCUUGCACCCAACACACCACAGGCAGCAGUGGCCAGGAGGAGAGGUCUAGCAGCAGCUUGGAGGAAGAGGAGGAGGAAGAAAUAAGACAAUGUUGUUGCAAAGGAAGAAGUGAAAGGUGAUGAUGCAGAUGUAGAGGAAAACAACAUUGCUGGAAAUGAAGAAGGCAGUAGCAAUUUUGAUGCAAACAAAGAAAAUGAUGCUGGAAAUAGGAAAAGAAAGCAAUGAGAAUGGAAGUGAAGAAGUAAAGUAUUAUGUGAAUGUGGAGGAAUGAACAAUAUUGGAAAUGAAGAAGGAAGUGGCAGAAUUGUUUCAAAUGAAGAAGAUGAUGUUGGAAAGGAAGGAAAGGAAGGCAGUGAUGAUGCAAACUAAGAAGAUGAAGAUGACUCUCAUGUUGAAAGUAAGCUCAGAAGGCUUUUAGAAAAGCACAUGAAGUGGCCUGUUCUGCACUUGGACAGAGCCUGGGCCAUGAUAAUUGACCUGAUGGACAACUUGACAUGUGUAUUUGGACUCGGCUUGUCGAACAGUUUCUGUCUUCUGCCGAACAAAGCCGUCGGGGUUGGCAGUGCCUUCCAAGGUUGGAGUCCAUGUGGGGAGGAUGUUGUGUACCGUGUGCUCAUCCCCCUGAAUCAUCUGCCGGGGUACACAUUCCUUCUGGAAGGUGGACACUGCAGGGCACAUACCUGGUAGGAAGUUCUGCAUCUGUGUGGAAAGGGCUCAUGCAUGAGGGAACAGCUCAGGGGAGAAUGUGCUGUGCUCCCUCCACCACUCUAAUCUCCACUAAUCUUGCAGGCAAAGGGGUCAGGGUCUUGGGAAGGAAAACACAAACGGAACAGCUGAAUACCUGGCUAUUCAGGGGAUACUCAAGGUUUUUGAUUCCAUGUCUGUGCAUCUACCUUGGAGCAGCUGGGUCUAUUGGGAGCAGAUGGCAUCCACCUGACCUCAGACCACAGAAAAAAGAUGGGCAGAUGUGGGACUCAGCAAGGCAAUGGACAUUGUGGAGUUGUGUUUUUAUGUUUUAUUGUAUUCUCAUUCUGUAACGUUCGUUCCCAUUUACCCCCCAUAUUGCCUUUGGUUUCUCCCUGAGUUUUCCCACCUUCCCUCAUGUGUCUAUCAAUCCCAAAACUGCUUAGUCAUUCCCCUGUCCCCUCCCAGGUGCCUUGUCCGUCACUCGGCAUCCCAUCCCAUCUAUCUGGAAGCUUCCACAAAGGGCGUCGGGUGAUGGGACGAGGACCUGGGGUCCCUCCCCUGUCUCUCCCUAACUGGUUACCCCAAAUGUCUAUCCCCGAGAGAGCCGCACCUUUACCUUCCCUUAUUGGCCGGUUGGGUUUCCCCUCCCUCCUGAUAAAGGUUACUGAUUUGCUGCACCCCUGUUUUGGUUUGGUUGGCUUUUGGGGGUUUCCCUCAGAGCCCGAAUAAACUGGGAUUUAUACCCAAGAGAGAGUCGCCUCCUCAUUGCCGCCGGGAUCAGCAGCCUUUGAACCCACAGAGGCACUCCCUCAAGCCUGCAAGGGUCUAGCGGGGAGUGCCUCUUGCUGCCCGUCCACCCCUGGUGGAGCCAGCCAGGGCUGGUCAGUGGUCAUCUGCAGCUGAGUGGGGACGGAGCGCGGCAGGACAUCCCUGCACAGCAGCGCUCUGACAAGAGCAGCAGUGGCCUCCUCUCAGUGGCCUCAUUGGUGCAGCAGCUGCUGAAGAGCACGGCGGCUACAGAGAUGCUUUUUGCUCUGCAAUCCCUUUGUACUCAAAGGCCACGCUGGGCAUUUCACCUGGGCUGGAAGGCCUGGCUGGGCAGGGAGCAGGCAAGAAGCACUGCUGUUGUCACCUGCGUGUGUUCACUGGGGACACAAUGAAGAUUCUGUUCAUCCCAGACACUGCCCAGGGCCUUGGAACUGCAAAUCUCAGCUUGUUGGACAUGCAGGAGACACUCUGUUGGCAGAGGGAGUUGCCCACAGGGAAAUUGUUGCCUGCAGGUGUCCAAUAAUGGGAAGAUUUGCAUGAGAUCUUAGAGGGGCUGGAUCUAGGAAGAGUCGAGCAGGUAAAACAAAGCGACCCUCACCCACUCCAGUUGUAGAAAAACCAGUGCCAUCCCAACAGAAUCUCUGGUGCUUUCAUAGAUAACACUAUUGAUUAUAAUCAGCAGGAUUGAUGAUGUUUGUUUCUCCUUGACAAGAGUUUGGGGGGCUUCUGCCUGCUUUGUGAAGGGAGCCCCUGGGCCCAUUCCCUCCCACAGGGGCUGCACUUGGUGGGUGCCGGGGCUUUCAUUUGGGCCCACUCGGAGCCCCUAAGCUGGGCUGGGGACCAAGGGCGAGGCUGGCCCAGCUGUGAUGCCUCUGGCACGUGUGACAUCAGGGGGAGCGUGUCACAAUGGGGGCAGCUGGAAGAGGCCCCCGCAGGUGACGCUGGCCCAGCACAGCCUGGGCAAGCAGUGAAUGCACACGUGGCGGGGCUGGGCUGGGCUGGGCCAGGGCACAAGCGCCACACCCAGACCUGCAUUGUCCCCCUGCAUCCAGGGCCGGCCCCUUGUGCCAACGCCUUGGCCAGGGCACGGGGCUGCUGCUGGCCCACUGGGACAGACCAUGGUGUCCAAAUCAGCCCUUGCCCUGGUUGUGCUGCUCCUCUUCCACUUCCCACGGCCCAUAGUGAACGGUUUUGAUGAGGAUGCACAGCAGAGCGAAGAGGACCUGGAGCAGGCUACCCCAGAGCCACCUGAGCCUGGCUGCGGACCCCUGCACAUGGCAGCCAUGCAGCAGGGGCCCUUCUGGGUUGCUGCUGAACUGCUGUUCCUGUCUUUGUUGUUCUGGUUCAGGCGCAGAAGGGUGGCCAUGAAGCAGAGAGUGGCGGCCCAGCGAGCUGAAGAAGAGGCAAGAAGGAGGAAGAUGGAAAUCAAGCAGAGAAGGCUUCGGUUCAAGAGGAGAUACAAUGACUUGAAAGAAAUGUGGAGGACCAUGAAAACUGUAAAAAAGAAAAUAGCCAGGCUGUUUUGAAUGAAUAGGAAGGUGAGCAGGAUGCUCUUUGGGCUGGCCAAGGCGAGCCACACAUCUUUGUGAGCAGCCAGCCCACAGAGCUGCGCUUGCUGCCGAGCACAGCCUGUGCCGGGGCAGAGGCUCAGGGCUCCUGCCAGACCCUGCCCCCCUUCCCUCUAUCUCUUCAUUGUUAUAUUAAUAUAUUAUUCUAUAUUAACUGCAUCUAUUAAUGAUUUCCCUGCUGUAACAUUGCACUUGCUCCUGGACCAGAGGUGUUUGAAGGAGGAUUGAGCCAGAUUGAUGAGCCUGGAUUUCUACAGGGGAAAAGUUUAUAAAUAGCAAUAUAUAUUUAUUAUAUCUAGCUAACUUUUUUAUUUAAUAAUACGGUUGUACAAUAUAUUACCUGGUAUUAUUUGUAAUAAUAUUCAAUUAUAAUAGGUAAAAGCUAGAAGAAAUGUUAUACUAGAGUUUUGCUGAAGGGGAAUAUAAAUUUAUUAGUCAGGAAUUACACAUGUUAUUUGUAUUGCAAAAACACAUUACGUAGCAGUAUGUUAUAUAAAAUAUAUGUAUUUCAUAUGUACAUUAUAUUAAAUAUGUAUAUGUAUAUGCUAUAUAAUAUGGUAAAAUUUAACAAUAAUACAUAAGAGUAUAUUUUAACUUGUAUUUUAUAAAUUAUAUAUGGCAUAUUCCAUGUAACAGAUGUCACAGAAUGUAUAAUGGCUCUAAAUGUAGGAAUUUAUAGAAACUAUCGAUAUUGUUCUAAGCACAUGGAUACAAAUGAUACUUUGAUUUUUGUCAUUUAUUUAAAUAAAGUUGAAUAUCGACAUAUUA